GGAAGAGACUCGACUUCUACAAAACGCAGGAAAUCAAGAAACCGGAGUAAACUAAACUAAAAAUGGUUCAUCCAAAAUAUUCUUGUUUUUUGGUUUCAAUCUUUCUGAGUCAGUUUGAAGGAGUGGGAGCACAGACAUAUCAUUUCUCCAGAGCUGGGGAAAAUGCCACUCUGCCCUGUCAGACGGGACUGAAUUAUGGUCCAGAAUGCUCUAGAGUCCACUGGAUUUACAACUCUGAAGACGACUCACAGUCUGUAGACAAAGUAUGGCAAGGACGUGUCCUGCACGGUCCAGGCUCCUCCAGAGUGAGUUUGGGCCCAAACUGUUCUCUGAUCAUUGACAACAUCACUGACCAGGACAAAGGGAAAUACACCUGCAGUCUGUGGGCCUCUGAUGAGAGGAACACAACAUUUAUCCUGGGAGUCCUCAGAGUAUCUGAAGUUCCUCCAGGUCCAAACCACAACGCUUCAGUCUUGACAGUCAUGUGCUCCAUAUCCAGAUACUACAAAAAGUGUCGACUUGGGAGUAUCCUCUGGUCGUAUCAUGGAGGGAACAUAAGAGCCAACAUCAAACAAAUAAACUGUGUGUCCUUCCUCACAGUGAAGCGUGGAGACAACAGAACCUUCACCUGUCAGUAUCUCAGUUCAAAGAAUAAAGUCUUUAUCUCAACUGACUACACACCAGAUCAACCGUCCACUGAAUGGACCACACCAGCUCCCAGAAAAAACUGCGACCCAUCAGAACCAACAGGCUGGAGCUGGUUCCUGGUGCUGAAGGCUCUGGGCUGGUCGACACUGAUCUCCACCACUCUGAUCAUCUCCAUCUGCACCAGAGACAAGAAAGAAACAAAGUCCUGUAGAGGAUGUGUUCCUGGUAAUGAUUAUGAAAAUUAAACAAGACCAGCCCAGUGAUUCUGUGUGACAAACCCAUAGUCUGUAUAUAGAAGUGGACUAAGGGUGCACUCCCCUAGGACUUUAGAACUGUGCUGUGCUCAUGUAGUAGAGCUAGAAGUAUAGCUAUUGCUUUAGCUGAGAAAAUAAGUCCAGCUGCAGAAAUAUCUAUUAAAUCUAUAGUAAUACUGAUAUACGUCCUUUUGUGAUGUGCACUCCUCCGUGAGUUUACGGAGAUAAUAACAGUGGAGGAGUGAGGACAGUCGGAGAUGAGGCUGCAAAACUUCUGUCACCAUCCACAGUCCUUUUGGAAGGUGCUCCGGCCAAAAGAGUCCCCGGGGAGCCAGAGCACCUUAAGAAGGUUCCGGGGCAGCCAACCAUGUUUGGAGGAGGGGAGCACAAUUUUUUAACUGGUUCUAUUGAGUAUUUUAGGGCAUUGAACACUGCUAAUUUAAAUAAAGAUAUAUAUAUUUUUGUAAUGUAUGUAAUUGGAUGUUGUUUGGGCACUGUUGGAUAGUUAGUUUUUAGAUAUUAAAUGUACAAAUUAUUGGUGCUUACCUGAUCGUUAAAGUGGGCUCACCCAAUUAGUACAGGGCCUUUAAAAGAAGCCAGCCUCACCUUGUUUAGGGAGAGAGGUGCUGUGUGAGCGCAGGUAACUGCUAUGCCUGUUUUAACCUUUUUGGAAUUUUUGUAAAUAGUUUUUGUUGUGUCUUUAAUAAAUGCACUGGGAUCUGCACUGUAAACUGGCUCAACUUGACUCUGUUCCUCCUAAAACCGCUAAGGUUGCCACCAGGCUAUUACAAAGUAGUUCAUUGUGUCUGUAAAAUGCACCUUGCCAAUGUAUUUUAUUAUGUUUAAUUUACAAUCUUUGCCAUUUGAUUUGCAAUGUUUAUAUAUUUUUGUGUUGUUGUUUUUUUAUAUUGAACUGUUAAUAAAGUUUCUAGGGCACAGUG